GUGCUUGCUUUGGAAGCACAUAUACUAAAAUUGGAAGGAUACAGAGAAGAUUAGCAUGGCCCCUGCACAAGGAUGACAUGCAAAUUCGUGCAGCCUUCCAUAUUUAA